GACGAACGCUGGCGGCGUGCUUAACACAUGCAAGUCGAGCGGGAUCCAACCGGUGGCAACACCGGGGAAGAUCUAGCGGCGAACGGGUGAGUAACACGUGAGCAACCUGCCCCGAAGACUGGGAUAACACCGGGAAACCGGUGCUAAUACCGGAUGUCGUCAUUAGGCCGCAUGACCUGAUGAUGAAAGGAUUCAUCGCUUCGGGAGGGGCUCGCGGGCCAUCAGCUGUUGGUGGGGUAACGGCCUACCAAGGCGACGACGGCUAGCUGGUCUGAGAGGACGACCAGCCACACUGGGACUGAGACACGGUCCCGACUCCUACGGGAGGCAGCAGGUGGGGAAUUUUCCGCAAUGGGCGAAAGCCUGACGGAGUGACGCCGCGUGGGGACGAAGGCC
rnacentral:rRNA from 1 species